rnacentral:lncRNA from 10 species
AUGAUCAGAAUUACCUGGAGACAAAACUAUCCACUUUCAGUUUUCAAUAAUCCCACCUGGCUGUCUAUGCUCCCCAGAGUCAUUGAAAUACUGUUCCAUGCUUUAAUUUAAUUGUUUGGAUAUGGUCAUAAGCUUUGUAAUAAACUCUCUAAUUUAAAUAGAUCAAUAAGAUCAUAUAGGGUGAUGAGAGUUUGGCCUUUGACAUAGCAAAGCUCUGUUUAUGGAGACACUGCUUAAUGGUUCAGAGCGCAGACUCAGGGCUUAACUAUCUGGAUUUGAAUUCCAACUGUCCCCUCUUACCACCACCAAAUUUCUACCAGUAUGAUCUUCACUAAGUUGACAUCAACAGUCUGCACAUAAACAAUAUGAAAAGCCCCACCUUUCAAAAAAUUUGAUGUUAUUUGGAUCCUUUUGACUGUACUAUUUUUAACUUAGCUGAUGAAUGAUAUUCACAUUCGAGAUGCUUAUCCCAUUUAGGUAUUAUUUGAAGAGCUUGGAAAAGCAGUAAAUGAUGGCUUAUAUU